GAGCGAGCGCAGGCGACUGACAGAGGAACCGACAGCAGACGGAGGGAGAGUUCUCCCUAGGACCAGACCGGAGGCGUGACUGCUGAAUCCACUUUCUCCCCACACACAACGUCCAGUGAUGUGCACCCAGCAAGCGCCCGUGGGAUCCUUCUGAACGGAAGAAAUUCUGCUCUCUGUCAGCCUGUGCUGUUAGGUGUCCCCAGGAAACCCACGCGUCUUCUGCGGACAGACCUGGCUCGAGAACAGGCCAUGCAGGUGUGAGUUUGUUUCUGUCACAGCCCACACUCUUGACCAUCACCGAGCAAGCAUACCCGCCCUUAAGGCUGGAGUGAAGUGGGAGGAGCCGGUGACUGCAGUGUACCUACCCAGCUGGCGGCACCCCAUCCGGGGUCUCUUCUGGAGAUUCACCUGCGCAUCCCCAAAGGAUGGGCUCACACUGCCGUGUCCUGACUCAUCGAGUUUAGACCUUGUCUGGUGAGUUCUAGCAAAAGACAAGGCUUUCAGCCUCAGGCGCGUUGGACCACGUGCCCAGGUUCUCCUUGGAGGUCCUGUGAGGGCCCACCCAAAACCGGGCACAGGCCCGUGCUCAGGACGCGUUCAGAGUGUGUCUACCAAGAACGAGAUUUCUUGGGUGCCUUGGUGGUGGGAAAAGCCAUCCGCAUGCUGCGGGGUGCACAUGUCAGAUGGGUAAAGGCUCUGGGUGAGGGUGGGGUGAGGGGUCACCAAGGAUCAUGUAUAGCAUGAGAAGAGCACAGGCCAGAGGGUGGAAACCAGCCCAAGAUUUAGGACGGGGUCAAAGGAAAUGGACCGACAGUGAGACAAGUAAUGAUUGAGUGUGAGGGAGGAGGAAAGCCAGAAUGGGCUGCUGUCCCAGGUUCUGACAAAGGAAAGUGUUUUGAAAAAUGGACUGACAGCGGUUCUCUGGUUCGGCCGCAUGGAACUCUUGGGAGGCGUUGGCAAGGGGGUGUGCCGUGGAUGGGGGCCCAUUGGGCAGGAACCAAAUAAGGAUGAUCCUGGAGCAUCUUUCAAGAACCUUGGCUUGAAAGGAAUCAAAGACGCAGGUGAGUAGAAGCAGAAGGCUGUGUGCUGUCAGGGGCUGUCAGUUUCUGUCCCCCAAAUGAGAGGAAAAACCCAGGAUGCCGCUUCUAGAAACUCCUAAGGAUCCUCAGGACAGCUGAAUAGAGAGGACAGAUGGAGAGAGUUGGGAAGAGCCUCACAGGUGUGUCUUCAGGUUGAGGUGGUGGGGAGCGGUGGCUUCAGUGCAGCAGUGGGGUUGCAGGAAGACGUCCAUCCUCUCCCUCCAGGCCCCCUCUUGCCUCGCAGACCCUUGUUGACAGGAGGAGCCGGUGGGAGGGGAUGCCGAGAUCACAGGCUCACUCAUGCUCCUCAGACUCCCGGGCAUCUCGGUGUAUUUAUCCUCCCUGACUGAUCUGAUCCUCCUCGCGCGGGUCCACUUCCACACCGGUUAGUAGGAAGGGGAAACCCCACUGAAUAGGUUUCUAAUCAGGUAAGCGUGGUUGGAUGCAACCAAGCGAACGGUCCACAUACACAAAUGCUCGCUCAGUCGAUUCUGGCGGAAACGCUCAGGCUCGCAUUUCCAACCCACCUCCCUUCUUUCCAAGACGGGUAAGGAGUAUGUGUGUCACUUACAAGUCUCGUGGUGAUGCGGGAAGUGGACCGAUAACAUGACACAUCGGUGUUGCUCAUGGUGGCCUGGGCGGUCCCUGAGGAAGGAUGACCCUCCCCUCCAGGGAGCUGGUAGCCUGACCUGCACUGCCCAUGGGUGGGGCUGGUGAAACUUGCAUUUUUGUCUUUCUCCUCUUGGUGGGGACCUGGAGCUCUGAGGAGGACUCAGCCCUGCUCACUCUGCUGGCAUCUGCAGACCCAGGGCGUCCACUCCACAGCCUCAGCUGCAGGCUCACCUUCUCCAGUGCCUGCUUAGGCUUCCGUAAUAACCCCCUGGCUCUGGACUCGGGGAAUGCAGAGCCCUGGGAUCUCACCUGCACCACAGUAGGAACCAAGAUCAGCUCCAGAAACAAAACUCCUGAACUGCAGC
rnacentral:lncRNA from 9 species